CGCGUAGGCGGCGAGGCAAGUCAGAUGUGAAAGCCCCGGGCUCAACCCGGGAACUGCAUCUGAAACUGUUUUGCUUGAGUUCUGGAGGGGGUAGUGGAAUUCCCAGUGUAGCGGUGAAAUGCGUAGAUAUUGGGAGGAACACCUGCGGCGAAGGCGGCUACCUGGACAGAAACUGACGCUGAGGCGCGAAAGCUAGGGGAGCGAACGGGAUUAGAUACCCCGGUAGUCCUAGCCGUAAACGAUGGGCACUUGGUGUUGGGGGUAUUGAGUCCCUCGGUGCCGGAGUUAACACGUUAAGUGCCCCGCCUGGGGAGUACGGUCGCAAGACUGAA
rnacentral:rRNA from 1 species